UACGGAGGGUGCAAGCGUUAAUCGGAUUCAUUGGGCGUAAAGAGCGCGUAGGCGGAGUGGAAAGUUAGAUGUGAAAUCCCGAAGCUCAACUUCGGACCCGCAUCUAAAACUUCUAUUCUAGAGGAUGGUCGGAGAAAAGGGAAUUCCACGUGUAGCGGUGAAAUGCGUAGAUAUGUGGAAGAACACCGGUGGCGAAGGCGCUUUUCUAGAUUAUUCCUGACGCUGAGGUGCGAAAGCGAGGGGAGCAAACAGG
rnacentral:misc_RNA from 1 species